UGAGUAGUUCAGUUGGUAGAGCAUGAGACUCUUAAUCCCAGGAUUGUGCGUUCAAGUCCCACAUUUGGCAAAA